CAUCUUGUAAUGGAGUUUGUGAGGACAGCUCCUCGGACAGCUCCUCACAUCUGUGAGGACAGCUCCUCAGACAGCUCCUAACAUCUCUUUGAACAAUCAAUGGUGCAAAAGUGGAGUCCCACCUGUGGGCUUAGGUUGAGAACUCUUGGACCUAAUGAAGCUCAUAAUGAUGAAUAAUUUAUGGGAGAUGACUCUAAGGAUCAUCAGCAGAAAGCUGUGGAAAGACACAAGGAAUUCCAUAAGAAAGAGGACUUGUCAUUCUCAAAAAGAAAGUUGACAAGGAGAUAAUUGAAUCUGGAAACAAUAUAAAUUCCUGCUAUGCAGUCCAGGCCGGCUUUGGAUUUAGGAUAAUCCUUCAGCUCGAUCUCCAAAGUGUUGGGAUUGCAAGUACUGCAGUCCUGGGGAAAAUUUUGACAGGAUUCAAUACAUACUAUCUCUGAGGAUACCUUGAAUCUUUGGUGUGUAUUUGUGGUAUGUAUGUGUGCUGGCUAGUGUUUUGUUGACUCAACGCUGGCUAGAGUUAUUUUGAGAGAGGGAACUCACAUGAGAAAAAUCCUCUUACCAGGUUGGCUUAUUAGAUAUUUUAUUGAUCUGAUUAAUGAUUGAUGUGGGAGGUCUCAGCUCAUCAUGUGUGAUACCAGCCCUGGUCAGGUGGACCUGAGUUGUCUAAGAAUGCAGAAACACUCCUCCAAUGUCUCUGCUUUAGUUCCUGCCUACAGGUUCCUACCGUGAG
rnacentral:sRNA from 1 species